CGCGUAGGCGGCCUGUUAAGUCUGGAGUGAAAGUCCUGCUUUCAAGGUGGGAAUUGCUUUGGAAACUGGCGGGCUGGAGUGCAGGAGAGGUUAGCGGAAUUCCCGGUGUAGCGGUGAAAUGCGUAGAGAUCGGGAGGAACACCAGUGGCGAAGGCGGCUAACUGGACUGUAACUGACGCUGAAGCGCGAAAGUGUGGGGAGCAAACAGGAUUAGAUACCCUGGUAGUCCACACGGUAAACGAUGAAUGCUAGGUGUAGGGGGUAUCGACCCCUUCUGUGCCGGAGUAAACACAAUAAGCAUUCCGCCUGGGAGUACGGCCGCAAGGUUGAA
rnacentral:rRNA from 1 species